UAAUAAGUGUUUAUGGCACUUUUUAAAUCCAUAUCCACCUUGUGCGCAAUGUCGGUCGAUCUUCUUCAUGGAGAUCGACCAAACAUCAACCUUUAUCUUUUAACCCUUUGUCUUAAAAAUAUUAUGAAUAAACAAUUCAAAAUA
rnacentral:misc_RNA from 1 species